rnacentral:ribozyme from 12 species
UGAUAGGCAGAACAAUCCGUACUAAAUACAACAUGAUAACGAGUUCCAUCUUCUUCUGUUUCCUUUUCUUCGAUUGUUGUUGUUGUUGGCAUUGUUGUUGUUGGAAUUGUUGUUGUUGUGCCUUUUUGAACAAGGCCAGGAGGAUUGUAUACAAUGAAUCCUAGAAUGAAAAGAACAAUACCAAUAGAAAAAAACCAUAAUGGUUCGAAUUCUUGUCUUCUACGAGACAUGUUUGUUGGAGGCUGUGUUUGACCAAUCUCGUCUCUUGUGAUUAACUGUAAGAUAUAAAAUGACAAAAU